rnacentral:ncRNA from 1 species
CAGUCUCAGAAAAGAAGUAGGUAGCUUAACCUUCGGGAGGGCGCUUACCACUUUGUGAUUCAUGACUGGGGUGAAGUCGUAACAAGGUAACCGUAGGGGAACCUGCGGUUGGAUCACCUCCUUA